GCCGGUGUGAUGGAAUGGCAGACGUGACGGACUCAAAAUCCGUUCCCAGCGAUGGGGUGUGGGUUCGAGUCCCACCACCGGCACCA
rnacentral:tRNA from 1 species